rnacentral:tRNA from 1 species
GCCUCCUUAGCUCAGCUGGUAGAGCAACUGACUUGUAAUCAGUAGGUCGCUGGUUCGAUUCCGGCAGGGGGCUCCA